GUUUUCUUUUUCCACUGAAAUACCUACUGUGCCAUAAAAACAUUUUGUGCUGUGCUCAGAUGAACAAAAUCCCACCAAAGUACACAGAGAGCUCAGUCUGCAGGCAUGCAGUCCCUGCUCUGCUUUGAAUUACUCCAGUGUAAAUUUAGCCAUGCUUCAUUAAGAUAGAAGAAAAUACACUUGUAAAAAUAAUGUAAGAAUAAGGCCUAUAAAAAGAAUAGGGUAUAGAGGUGUUUGUUUGGUGUGUUGUUUUGGGAUUUUUAUUUGCUUGAGUUUUUUAAAAGACUUUAUUGGUACAGUUCUUAUUGGUUCAUUGACACAGGUAAGCCAUAUAUUAGUUACACUAGUUAUCACAGACAGAUGAUAAAAAUAUUUUUAUGCCUUUUUUUCCCCGGAAACUCUGAUUUAGAAUUUUACAAUUGUAAAUAGUUUAAAAAAUAUAUUUUAAUGAAAUUUUGCAUAUCUUUAUCCCAUUCUGGCUAUUAGAAGUAUUUGAUGAGCUGAAACAGUGCAUACCAAAGGAAGAAGCAAUGAUGAAUAUGUAUUUAGGAACCUCUAAACUCAUUGUAAGAUGUUUUCUUUAAAUAAGGAUAUUCCUUUAUUUAGACAAUUUGCUUUCCAUCAGCUGCAAAACACCCAUUUCUAAAAUUUCUCAUGACGCAGCAGUAUUAUUAGUGAGUGGGUUUUUAUAGUAUUACAGGUUCAGAUUGAAAGAUUAUGUUAAUAUUUACUAGUCAGGCUUUUAUUUUUCCUCCAGUGAUUUUUGCUUAGCUGUUUGAAAUAGUUAAUUAAAUCUGGUUGGACAGCCUACCCUUAGUGGCUCCUGGCCUCUGUGUUUAUAAUUAACAUAGCAAACAGGGCAAAAUACAAGAAAUUACCUCUGAGUUAGAGACAGGUGUGCCAAGGAUGGGUGUUGCUGCUCCUAGGGGCAUUAAUGAGAUGUGUUAAUGGACCUUCAGGUGUAGAUUUCAAAGAGAGUGCUGCACCUGCAAAGAUGUACAGGCCAAGAAUGUCCAGAAGGUACCAUUUCCAGUUGCACUUCCUUGUGCAGGCAGUCUCUUGGGAGAUUAGACUUGGCCACAGCAGUAGCCUUAGAAAGAUUUCUUGAUCUCCUUGCAUUUGCAUUUACUGCCUUAAUUUAGGAUGUCAUUCUGAGAGUACCACUCCCAGUUUUCAGGUAAAUUCUGUUAAGCUCAGAGUUUGCAUGUGGACCACAGAGUGAGCUCCAUAUGGCUGUCCAGGCAGUGGUGCAACACAAAGAAUAUAUAAAUGAUUUUCAAAGCAUCACAUAAGAACUUUGUAUUAAAGCAGUGUGAUUUAGCAGAAUGAGAACGGAUCAGCAGAAACCUGACUCCUUACUUCAUCCACCUUCUACAGGGUGAUCUGGAGCUUCUGUCAAGCUUUGAGUUUAUGGACUUUUCCUGGAGGAAGGCUCCUGUGGAUAUCCUGCAUUCCUUAUCUGAAGUAUGGCAUUGAGCUCCUGUGUCAGGUGUAAAAGGGCUUCUAGAAGCUGUAAGUACCAGGCAUGUGUUUUCUUCAAAGUGACUACUGUUGCAGAGAAUGAUCAUGUGGUUUAACCCUGGCCAACAACUAAGGACCACACAGUCGCUUCCACUUCUCCCCUCUCCCCAGCACUGCCAUGAGGGGAAGAGAAUUGGAAGGGUAAAAAUAAGACUCUUGGGUUGAGAUAAAGACAGCUGAAUAGGGAAAGCAAAAGCUGUGCACACACAGAGCACAAGGAAUUUGUUUCCUACUUCCCAUGAGCAGGCAGCCGUCUCCAGGAAAGUGUGGCUCUGUUGUGUGUGGUUACCUGGGAAAACAGGUGCCAUCCCUCCAAAUGUCCUCCUGUUCCUUCUUUCCUCAGCUUCACAGGCUGAACAUGAUGUCAGAUGCUAUGAAAUGACCCUUUGGUCAGUUGAGGUCAGCUGUCCCGAAUGUGUCACCUCCCAGCCUCUUGUGCACCCCCUGCCUCCUUGCUGGUGGGGAGUUGUGAGCAGCAGAAAACAGUGCUUACACCCAGGCAAAGCUGGUGUGUAAGUGCUGCUCAGCAAAAACUGCAGCAUCCCUGCACUGCCACAGUGUUUUCAGUAUGUAUCCAAAACACAGCCCCAUACUAGCUACUGUGAAGAAAAUUCACCGUAUCCCAGCUAAAACCAGCACAAAUGGCUAGUUCCAGUCCUUUCUCAAGUUGACUACUGUGUGCCCUCUUUAGAAAGGUGAACUCGAUGAUGAUAUUUUUCCAUUAGUAUUUUAUCAUUUUGUUCUACAGGUAUAGCUUACUCUGAUUUCCUGCUGCAAAUCCUGUUUCCACUUACUGAUCAUCUUCAAGCAAAUAUGUAAUACAUGCCAUAAUCAAUCUAUCUCAGUACCCUAAUCAACAUCCAUUUAAAUGCAGCACAGGUUUUAUGUCUGCCUGGACUUGCCAAUCUAACUGACAUGAUCUGGAUUUAUUAGAAAAGUCCUAAAUACUGUUACACUGUCAAUUAAAAAUAGAACUCCUGUAGUAGUCUGAAGAACAUGCAAGUUGAUAUUUAGCACUUACAUUUUUUAAAUAACCCAUUUAAUGAUAAAUUAUGUCAUUAGUACAUGAUGAGCAGAUUACUUACUUACAAUCCUUACCAGUGUAUUAAAAUUGUUAUCUCAGAAUAUUUGAAUAGUGAUUUACAUGAAACAUUGAAAUGUAUUAAUCUUUAUACUCCUCAUUUAGAAAGAAUAUGAUAAUGAAAAAAUUAAUUGUCGGAAAUUUGUGUGCACUACUCAGAGAGAAGCUUGGAUAAUUCCUGCUCCUGAAGGACUAUUUCUGUCAGGCCUUGUUAUGCUUGACUUGUAUCAUCCUUGGGAGCUGCUCUGUCAAAUUGAUGUUUAUUUGAUAUAUUUUUAAUUUCUCUUCAGUAAAUUUGUCCAAACACAUGCAUCAUGUGCACACAUGCCUGCUUGUACACUAAGAAGAUGAGCAGAAAGGGACACUGGGAGAUGUCAAUCCAUGUUUGGGUAGUUGUGGCUGUCUGUAUGCUGAUAGUCAUGUUCAGCUCGCCUGCACCUUCUACUGACAUUCGCUGGGUCCUGCCUCAAGGUGGAGCUGUUAUAUUUGCAAUGGUGAUCAAGAUUUGAAAAGCAAUUUCUUCCCCCAAAUGCUGUUUCUGAUUUGAAUAGAUGUAUGAGUUAUACCGGUAAAGAAAAACAGCGAGAAAUUUUCCUCCCCCUCAGCAAAAGCUGGAGUCAUCAGUGUGUCACGCAGGUGGAUGGGCGUACAACACUGACUUUUAUUCAACCUGACACCACCUUUUGUAGGCUCAGGAAGAUGCAUGCCUUUCACUUGCAGUAGGAUUAUGACAAUGUGCGCAUUCCAGCUGUCAAAGGCAGUGCUGUUCUUCUUGUGGCUCUUUGUAAUUGGGAAUGUUUUCCCAGAAGACAGUAUGUGUGUGUGUAUUGUGUUCCAAUUAAGACUAUAUGAGGCAUUUAUGGCAGGCUGUCAAAUCAAUGGGACGCUGGGAGUAUUUUAGUCUCCAUGCUAUAGUCUAAAUAACCUUUUAAGGACUCUGUUCCCUCAAUGUGGUAAAUAAAUGCUGAAUGUUUUGUACUUAA